rnacentral:sRNA from 1 species
CGAGGAGUCCUGAACAGCCGCUAGGUGCAAGUAUGAUAACUCGCAUUGCUGCCCACAGGGAUCUCGCGCGGAGCCUGGAGCAAGGGCCAGAGGGGCCGGAAACGCCCAUCCAGGUGGUGCUCAGGGUACGUCCCAUGAGCGCGGCCGAGCUGCGUCGAGGGCAGCAGAGCGUGCUGCACUGCUCAGGGACCCGGACUCUGCAGGUGAGCCCUCCAGGCGGGGGUCCAGAAGUGGCGUUCCGCUUCGGUGCGGUGCUAGACGCGGCGCGCACGCAGGAGGACGUGUUCCGGGCGUGCGGCGUGCGGCGCCUGGGGGAGCUGGCGCUGCGCGGGUGAGUGAAGCUUCGCCUCCGCUCCGCGCCGGGCCUGGCGGGGCCCCGAAGCACCCCCAGCCCCCACCCCGGGUAGCCGCCCGAGUCCAGCCACGCCCUUGCCGCCCGCAGCUUCUCCUGCACUGUUUUCACCUUUGGCCAGACGGGCUCUGGGAAGACCUACACCCUGACUGGACCCCCUCCCCAGGGGGAGGGGGUGCCUGUACCCCCCAGCCUGGCUGGCAUCAUGCAGAGGACCUUCGCCUGGCUGUUGGACCGCGUGCAGCACCUGGGUGCCCCUGUCACCCUUCGCGCCUCUUAUCUGGAGAUCUACAAUGAGCAGGUAAGGGAAUGAGAGGAAUAGAAAGACAGCCCAUGAGGAAACGGAGCGCUUCUUUCCAGGGAGCCUGGAUCAAAGGGCAGAAGAGGCGGUUCGGGACUUGCUGAGCCUGGGGUCUCCCCGGCCCCUCCCUGUUCGCUGGAACAAGACUCGGGGCUUCUAUGUGGAGCAGCUGCGGGUGGUGGAAUUUGGGAGUCUGGAGGCCCUGAUGGAACUUUUGCAAACGGGUCUCAGCCGUCGAAGGAGCUCAGCCCACACCCUGAACCAGGCCUCCAGCCGAAGCCAUGCCCUGCUCACCCUUUACAUCAGCCGUCAAACUGCCCAGCAGAUGCCUUCUGUGGACCCUGGGGAGCCCCCUGUUGGUGGGAAGCUGUGCUUUGUGGACCUGGCAGGCAGCGAGAAGGUAGCAGCCACGGGAUCCCGUGGGGAGCUGAUGCUUGAGGCUAACAGCAUCAACCGAAGCCUGCUGGCCCUGGGUCACUGCAUCUCCCUGCUGCUGGACCCACAGCGGAAGCAGAGCCACAUCCCUUUCCGGGACAGCAAGCUCACCAAGUUGCUGGCAGACUCACUGGGAGGGCGCGGGGUCACCCUCAUGGUGGCCUGCGUGUCCCCCUCAGCCCAGUGCCUUCCUGAGACUCUCAGCACCCUGCGAUAUGCAAGCCGAGCUCAGCGGGUCACCACCCGACCACAGGCCCCCAAGUCUCCUGUGGCAAAGCAGCCCCAGCGUUUGGAGACAGAGAUGCUGCAGCUCCAGGAGGAGAACCGUCGCCUGCAGUUCCAGCUGGACCAAAUGGACUGCAAGGCCUCAGGGCUCAGUGGAGCCCGGGUGGCCUGGGCCCAGCGGAACCUGUACGGGAUGCUACAGGAGUUCAUGCUAGAGAAUGAGAGGCUCAGGAAAGAAAAGAGCCAGCUGCAGAAUAGCCGAGACCUGGCCCGGAAUGAGCAGCGCAUCCUGGCUCAGCAGGUCCAUGCACUAGAGAGGCGUCUCCUCUCUGCCUGCUACCAUCACCAGCAGGGUCCUGGCCUGACCCCACCGUGUCCCUGCUUGAUGGCCCCAGCUCCCCCUUGCCAUGUGAGUCUCAUGGCCCAGCCUGGAGGGGUGACAAGUAGGGAUGUCAUGGAGCCUCUGACGCACCUUUUUGCAGGCACUGCCACCCCUCUACUCCUGCCCCUGCUGCCACAUCUGCCCACUGUGUCGAGUGCCCCUGGCCCACUGGGCCUGCCUGCCAGGGGAGUACCACCUGCCCCAGCCUCUCUUCUGGGCUCUGAGGAGUCAGAAAUAGACCAGACAUGGUUCCUGCUCUCAGGAGGCUUCUAGUCUCAGGAGAGGACAGUAGAAGAACCAUCUGCUGCAUGCUGCACACAGAAGGCGACCAAGACCCCACCCCUUUAUGCCAUCCUGACAUUCUUGGUGUUGGACCCUGAGGCCUCAGGUGGCAGGCCCCCAUCUGCCCGGCCCCCACCCUGGGCACCCCCAUGCAGCCCUGGCUCUGCCAAGUGCCCAAGAGAGAGGAGUCACAGUGACUGGACUCAGACCCGAGUCCUGGCAGAGAUGUUGACGGAGGAGGAGGUGGUACCUUCUGCACCUCCCCUGCCUGUGAGGCCCCCGAAGACAUCACCAGGGCUCAGAGGUGGGGCCGGGGUUCCAAACCUGGCCCAGAGACUGGAGGCCCUCAGAGACCAGAUUGGCAGCUCCCUGCGACGUGGCCGCAGCCAGCCACCCUGCAGUGAGGGCGCACGGAGCCCAGGCCAAGUCCUCCCUCCCCAUUGAAGGCCAAGUGGGAACCCAGGAGACUGCUGUGUGACCUCAGACUGGGCUCCGCACUCUUGGGCUUCAGUCUGCCCAUCUGCUGAAUGGAGACAGCAGCUGCUACUCCACCUGCAGCUGGGCUAGGGGCGGGGACUGGGGGUGCUAUUUAGGGGAACAAGGGGAUUCAGGAGAAACCAGGCAGCAGGGGAUGAAAUACAUGAAUAAAGAGAGGCAUCAGCUCCAA